rnacentral:rRNA from 1 species
AUUGAACGCUGGCGGCAGGCCUAACACAUGCAAGUCGAACGAGUGGCGGACGGGUGAGUAAUGUCUGGGAAACUGCCCGCUGGAGGGGGAUAACUACUGGAAACGGUAGCUAAUACCGCAUACCAUCGGAUGUGCCCAGAUGGGAUUAGCUAUUAGGUGGGGUAACGGCUCACCUCGGCGACGCUCCCUAGCUGGUCUGAGAGGAUGACCAGGCACACUGGAACGGAGGAAAGGUCCAGAAACCUACGGGAGGCAGCAGUGGGGAAUAUGGGAAAAGGGGGGCAAGCCUGAUGCAGGCAUGCCGCGGGUUUGAAGAAGGCCUUCGGGUUGUAAAGUACUUUCAGCGGGGAAGCGGUACCCGCAAAAAAAGCACCGGCUAACUCCGUGCCAGCAGCCGCGGUAAUAC